UACGAAGGGGGCUAGCGUUGCUCGGAAUCACUGGGCGUAAAGGGUGCGUAGGCGGGUUUUUAAGUCAGAGGUGAAAUCCUGGAGCUACACUCCAGACUGCCUUUGAUACUGAAAGUCUUGAGUAUGGGAGAGGUGAGUGGAACUGCGAGUGUAGAGGUGAAAUUCGUAGAUAUUCGCAAGAACACCAGUGGCGAAGGCGGCUCACUGGCCCAUUACUGACGCUGAGGCACGAAAGCGUGGGGAGCAAACAGG
rnacentral:rRNA from 1 species